CCUGCCCCUAGAGGCCUUGUAGGUGUGGCCGCUGUGUCACAUGUGUGUCAGUAGGUGGCAAAGAGGAGAGAGGCCGUGUCUAUGUGUUCUGACCUGUGACCAUCUGACGUUCCUAGAAA
ensembl:snoRNA LOC120100434 small nucleolar RNA SNORA17